rnacentral:lncRNA from 1 species
AUUUUCCUGAGGUGGCAGCAUGUGCUGCUCUCCAGUGUACGCUUACUUUGUCUUCAUGGCUCGUUCGUGGACUUGAUUUGACGUGGUAGGCAUCUUCUCAUGUAAGAGAGAAGAUGGUUUCGGGCGUUUCCAGCUGUGGUUGGUAGGUGCCUCUGUUUCUCUUGGAUAGAGAAUUCUCUGCCAAGCUGCUUUCCAUAGAGCUCCUACUAGACGGAUGUGAGGGGCACAGACUGGGUCAGCUGUCUUUGACUAUUGACUGUAAAAGCAUUUGAUUCCCGUUAUGUUCCUCAGGAUUGUAACUCCAUGUUUAUCAUUAUCUGCAAGAAGGCACCCAAAAUCCACAAGUAUAUAUGACAUGUACUCUUUUACAAAAAAGUUUGGGUUUUGUACACAGAGCUGUUCUCAUUUUGGGACUAAGUGUUAACUGGUUAUUGUCUAGUCAAACACUCCUUUCUAAACCUUUGGUCCAGUUGUGUAGAAGCAUGGUUUGGUUUCAUCAGAUUAGGGUCCGUCUUAAGAGCAGACGUGGACCUGGUGACCCUGUUGUGUGGUUGACUGUGGCUCUCAGCUUGUGAAGUCAAGGUGUGGGCUUGUGAGGAAGAAGUAUUUUGCUUUCCUUUUUUCCUUUUUGGUUAUGGUGCUACUUCUAACAUUAACUUUGACUAUGUGACACACUCCUAAGUACCAUUAAGGGUGAUUAACAAUAGUUACAGUGUUUACAUUGAGCACUCGGUGUUUGCAAUGCGCAGGGAUUUAAUGCACAGAUGUACUUUAAUGUUUAGGGUCAGCCUUGUCUUUUUGAGAGAGUCAUAAGGUGAAUGUGAGCUGGUCCAGAAGUAAGUGCUGUAGCUUCUGCUGCACUUGAAGUAGUUAGGGUGUACUUGUAAAAGGAGCCGUUUCCCACUUUAGUUUUCUAUGUCCGAAGUCUGAUUUUAUUCAUUCAUGGGUUUUAAAAGAAGUUUGAAGUAGUACAGGUUUGAUUUUUUUUUUUUUACUUCCUUUGAAAGAUUACUAUUACCAAGCAUAUUAAGAUUAAAAAUAGAUUUAAAAGGAUUUCCCACUUAUAUCUUAUUUUAAAAGGUAUACUCACAAUGUGUAGUAAUUUAUGAAUAAAAAGAAAAUAUAUCCCAUUUUCAGGUAGUUCCUAGGGUGGUCAUUGCUUUUUUUUUUUCUUUUCUUUUUAGUGGAAAACCUGAUCAAAUAAUGUCUGAAGUUAGUGUGAUGUUGGAAAUUGUGAUAUAGGUCUCCUAGAGUAAGACAUGUUUUUGCAAAGCACUUCAAGACCUAGAAAAACAAUGCAUCGGGUCUAUAAAUAGGUUCAUUCAACACCACUAGAGGGUUACAUCACAGACAGGUUCAUACAGUACUGCCAGAGAGCUGCACUGCCCACAGUCACGUGUCACUAUGCCUUUGCCCUCAUUUGUGGCUUUUGGGGUAAGGAUGGGUUCACACCACAGCCUCAGUUUCUGUGGUGCUCUUUUUCUUAAAUCACUGUACUGUGUGAUAAAAAAUUGACCUGGAUUUUACUCUCGCGUCACUGCGAGUUGAAUGUAAUUGUGUCAGCUGACAAAAGACAUCUGAGGUUUGUAAUGGAGCAGAAUGCAGAACAUUAAAGAUGCACGGGAUGUUUUAUUUCCCUCCCCCUCCAGUGUCCUGAUUCUGCUAGAAACAAACUCACAGGCUCGAGAUAGGCUGUGCUUUUCCUCAAUGGUCGAAGUAACCAGCUCAAGUUUUGAUCAUUAAGCCAGCACAUUUCAGAUAUCUUACAGCUAUUACCAAGUCCAUGCUGUUUUCUCAUGGUGUAGAUAGUAUGCUGGAGUGCAAAGGAGCUUGGAGAGCCUUCCUCCUGUUAGUGACUACUGAAGCUUAGACCCUCAGCUUUGGCUGUGGACCCUGAUCAGCACCAUAGGUUUACAUCUGUGUCCGCCCACCCAGUGUUCUGUAAUGUACUGACCAAACCAGCUCUGGUAGAGCAAGGAGAACAUGAGGCAGUGUGCACUCUUACUUAACUGGGUUAGUUGUGAGUCUCACAUACAGCUCUUACUGUCACUAAGGGAGGACUGAGAGUAAAGAGUAUGAUGCUGGGGUUGGUUGUGUUAUGUGUUCUUACAUCUUAACAUUUUUAAAUUCUUACAAGUGUUCUGAAGGACACCUGGGAAUUCUCAACAUU